UAUCAAUAAGGAUGUAUUUAUGGGAAACAAACAUGAAGUAUAGCUCACACUUACAGGAUUUGGCAGGUAAGCAAAGCGAAGUGGGGUGUCUAAUCAUAAAGCCCAAACCUUUGAGCUUGCUUGGCAUUGGUUUCAGCUCUGGAUAGCUGUGUGGGCUUCACGUCAUUCUCUUCCUCCAGGAAGCCUCAGCUUUCUCUUGCAUAAAAAGGACAUAAAGCUCUCCAGUACACCAUCGUCUGGCUGCUAAGACAUCUGUUACAGCUUCUUUCUUUAGUCAAAAGUAUUCUCCAGUCUCCAGCCUGGAGGCUCUCUGUGGCUUUCUGUGGCUUUCUCCUUCAAUGCCACCCAUUAUCUGAAUACUUCUGUGUAGAAGCAUCUGUAGUUGAGAGUCAGGUCACACAGUGUGGUUUUCCCAAGUGACACCCUCCUUUGGCAGAAACAGCUCCUUUAGAGAUCAAGAUGGCCAUUCCCUGAGGCCCAGGGUCUCAGCAAG
rnacentral:lncRNA from 1 species